UACGGGGGGGGCAAGCGUUGUUCGGAUUUACUGGGCGUAAAGCGCACGUAGGCGGAUCUUUAAGUCAGAGGUGAAAUCCCAAGGCUCAACCUUGGAACUGCCUUUGAUACUGGGGAUCUCGAGUCCGGGAGAGGUGAGUGGAACUGCGAGUGUAGAGGUGAAAUUCGUAGAUAUUCGCAAGAACACCAGUGGCGAAGGCGGCUCACUGGCCCGGUACUGACGCUGAGGUGCGAAAGCGUGGGGAGCAAACAGG
rnacentral:rRNA from 1 species